rnacentral:rRNA from 1 species
GACGAACGCUGGCGGCGUGCUUAACACAUGCAAGUCGAACGGAAAGGCCCUGCUUUUGUGGGGUGCUCGAGUGGCGAACGGGUGAGUAACACGUGAGUAACCUGCCCUUGACUUUGGGAUAACUUCAGGAAACUGGGGCUAAUACCGGAUAGGAGCUCCUGCUGCAUGGUGGGGGUUGGAAAGUUUCGGCGGUUGGGGAUGGACUCGCGGCUUAUCAGCUUGUUGGUGGGGUAGUGGCUUACCAAGGCUUUGACGGGUAGCCGGCCUGAGAGGGUGACCGGCCACAUUGGGACUGAGAUACGGCCCAGACUCCUACGGGAGGCAGCAGUGGGGAAUAUUGCACAAUGGGCGGAAGCCUGAUGCAGCAACGCCGCGUGCGGGAUGACGGCCUUCGGGUUGUAAACCGCUUUCGCCUGUGACGAAGCGUGAGUGACGGUAAUGGGUAAAGAAGCACCGGCUAACUACGUGCCAGCAGCCGCGGUGAUACGUAGGGUGCGAGCGUUGUCCGGAUUUAUUGGGCGUAAAGGGCUCGUAGGUGGUUGAUCGCGUCGGAAGUGUAAUCUUGGGGCUUAACCCUGAGCGUGCUUUCGAUACGGGUUGACUUGAGGAAGGUAGGGGAGAAUGGAAUUCCUGGUGGAGCGGUGGAAUGCGCAGAUAUCAGGAGGAACACCAGUGGCGAGGGCGGUUCUCUGGGCCUUUCCUGACGCUGAGGAGUGAAAGCGUGGGGAGCGAACAGGCUUAGAUACCCUGGUAGUCCACGCUGUAAACGGUGGGUACUAGGUGUGGGGUCCAUUCCACGGGUUCCGUGCCGUAGCUAACGCUUUAAGUACCCCGCCUGGGGAGUACGGCCGCAAGGCUAAAACUCAAAGGAAUUGACGGGGCCCCGCACAAGCGGCGGAGCAUGCGGAUUAAUUCGAUGCAACGCGUAGAACCUUACCUGGGUUUGACAUGGAUCGGGAGUGCUCAGAGAUGGGUGUGCCUCUUUUGGGGUCGGUUCACAGGUGGUGCAUGGCUGUCGUCAGCUCGUGUCGUGAGAUGUUGGGUUAAGUCCCGCAACGAGCGCAACCCUUGUUCACUGUUGCCAGCACGUUAUGGUGGGGACUCAGUGGAGACCGCCGGGGUCAACUCGGAGGAAGGUGGGGAUGACGUCAAGUCAUCAUGCCCCUUAUGUCCAGGGCUUCACGCAUGCUACAAUGGCUGGUACAGAGAGUGGCGAGCCUGUGAGGGUGAGCGAAUCUCGGAAAGCCGGUCUCAGUUCGGAUUGGGGUCUGCAACUCGACCUCAUGAAGUCGGAGUCGCUAGUAAUCGCAGAUCAGCAACGCUGCGGUGAAUACGUUCCCGGG